AAUCCAGAAAAACUACAUCCACCACCUUUCCUUCACCCACAAGGUGGGUCACCUUAUCAUAAGAGGAUAUCAAAUUAGUUAGAACUUUCCCUUUGUGAACCCAUGUUGACUGUGCCUCAUGAUUGCAUUGUUCUUUGAAUGCCUUUCAAUAGCACACAGUAUGAUCUUCUCCAUAAUUUUCCAGGUUCUGAGGUUAGACUAACAGGUCUGAGUCUUCCCUUAUGCCUUUUUUGUAGAUUGGAAUAAUAUUGGCUAGCUUCCAGUCAGUGGAGACCUCCAAUUUUUGUGCUCAGGUAAGCACAAGCUGCAACAGGAUUAGCCUUACAACACAUAGCCCUGCACCCCUAGAGUCCCAGUGGGCCUAGACAAUCAAUUUUAUGUUGAAGAGGGACUAAUUGACUUACUUCCUCAUUAAGCUCUUGAAUGCCAGUUUAUCUGUUAUAACUGUCCAAGUGCAGGUUUCUAUUUGCCUGUCACAGGAGUGAGUCAUUACUGUGGAGCAGCUGACAUGACACUGCCUCUGCCAUGCACACUGUACUUUGCUGCUCAUGGCCUGCAUCUAGGUUAUAACCUAUGCUUUAAAACAUGGGAAGGAAAGGAUGUGGGUAAGGAGGACAGCAAAGAUGAUGCCAUGAAGUCAGAGCUGGAAAAGAUGGUUUGGUGGUUGUUAUUGGAAAAGGGCUCCAUUUAUUUUUUUAUAUAUAAUGAAGUAUUUCCCCCUCUCCCCACCCCGAAUCUUGCAGACCUUGCACUCUCAGAGGUUGCUUUUAAGGACUGUGCAGGGCUAGUGCUGUUAACUUUGUGCAGGAGCCAAAAGUGGUUGGUAAAGGACAGAAGCACUUACUGCACCUAUUAAGCAAAAUCUACACCUUCUUCCUGUGCACAACAUUCCUGCUGUGGCUGCUCUCUCAAAGACAAACAAAUGCCUUCAAGAACUGACUUCCAAACAGCAACACAGAUGCCAACAGCUUCCCAUAAGAUCUGUAUGGCUGGUAACCAGAAUCAGUCAAGCUUGGAGAAAGACAAGUCAAGCAUUUUAAACACUUAGAAAACAGAGCAUCUCAAAAUGCCUGCUGUUCUGUGCUACACAUGAAAAAUCCAUGCAAGCACAGUCCCACUUUUGUCCAUUGGGUGUUAUUGCUAGCCACAGCAAGGUGACCAAACCACCCAGGAUGAAAUUUACUUCUCUGCAAACCAUUCAGCCCCCACAGUAGGCCAUGUAGGUAUGAACAACACCAACUGGCUACAGUCCAUUACUGAUGCAUGCACGUGACUAUUUCAGCCCCAUGCAAUUUCCUUCCUGAUCUCUGAACCGUGUGUUGAAUAGACAUGAAGUCAAAUAAAACCUCACUAAUGAGAAAAAAAACCUGACUCUUGGGAAAAGUAUUUUUUGCCAACACAGGUGACAAGUAUGUUUUGAAAUGGAAGCCUGUACAAAGAAAAGGCAGUGCUUAGUCCCCAGUGAUUGCUUGCGACGUGUAUUAGUACUCUUCUGCAAACAUGAGCCUAGUGCCUUGCAUGCAUCCACUGCAGGUUUACACCGGUACAGUAGACCCCGUGGAGUAGUUCCUAAAGGACAUGAGCCCUAGAAGUCUACUUAGUCCGUCAGCUGAUCAUGAAUAAAACCACAUUAGCACAGUUUUAAGAUGUUAUCAAAGUAAUGAAUACAAGCCAACAGGCUGAAGAACAGGUGAAAUCUUAGGACAGUUGAUUUAGGGCCACUCACGCAGGUCUUUUUUUCACUUAGUAGCAAUGAAAGUCUCUUCUCUGACACUGUUCCUUUCUACUCUUGCUCUUGGGGUUCACAACUUCUUGGUGUCAAUAACCAGGGUCAGCCAGAGGCAUCUACUUACCUUUCAAACUCAGCAGAGAAAUCAACAGAAAAUUCAUGUGACUGGGAGAGCUCACUUUUAUGGAGGCUACCAGAUGAAGAAGAUUUAAUAAAGCUGUGAGUCAAAAGGAGUACUGGAAAUUUUGUUCUGGACUAAAAGGCUUCUUUCUCCUUGCAGACUGAGUGAGAUUCAUGCAAAAAUACUUCGAAGACUGAGAGAACAGGUUGGCCAGAGAAGUUGUGGAUGCCCCAUCCCUGGAAGUGUUCAAGGCCAGGUUGGAUGGGGCUUUGGGCAACCUGGUCUAGUGGAGGGUGUCCCUGCCCAUGGCAGGGGGGUUGGAACUAGAUGAUCUUUAAGGUCCCUUCCAACCCAAACCAUUCUAUGACUCUACAAUUCUAUGAUCUCUGUCCCCAAGGCUUCCAUUCUUGGAUUUAACCAGAAGAAACCAGACAGUACAUCUGAACUAAGAGUCAUCUGCAAUUUUGCUGAAAAUAAAGGAAAGCAAACAAAAGCAGCAUAUAGUAAAAAAAGAGCUAGCCUAGUUUUAAGAGGAAAGAUUAAAUUGAACUCUAGACAACCAACAAUAAAUGAGGAUAUCAGAGUGUCUUACAAGUGUAAUUUCUGUUGGGGCAGAAAUACUAGAAAUAUUAACCUUAGCCUGUAAAAACUUGCUGUAAAAUUAAAGGACAAAGCAGCAAAAGCUGAUUCCCCAAUCACUUUGCAGCCACAACACUGAGGCAUCAGAAGAAAAGUGACGAAACAGGGAUCUAAAUAUCCAUGCUUUAUUUAGAAGAAAGCAGCUCGAAAGUUUCCAUUCAGCUGUGUCUCCUUUCUUUUCUAACCCACAUGCUUCAGUUUAUCAGCCCUCAAUUGUGCAGCUACAUCUGCUUGUGGAAUCAUGUCAAACUCGAUUACUGAAAUUAUUCCAUUUAAAGAUAGUCUUCUGAGAUAAGACACAACAGACCAUGGGUCUGAGCAACACAGAACUAGGUAAGACAGGAGCCCUCCCUUCAUCUCUUCAAAGCCAAAAGAAACACUUCAGGUAAAGAACACAUCAUGCUGUCUCUGUUCAAACAAACAACCAAUCAACAAUAACACCAAAACUGUCAAACUUGUCCUCAUUAUCUACUGGCUUCCUGCACUGCUUAUCUUUGAGGAAGAAGUUCUUUAUCUCCAAAGUUUAAGCCUGAGUUAUUUAAAGAUUGACAACAAUUCUGGAAUGAAGAUUCUUUUGUCCUCAGGUACACUGGGGGUUACUGCAUUAGAGCUACAGCAUCCAGGAGAUGGACCUUUUUCUUAACUUAGAAUCAAAAAACCAAAUAAAAUUCUAUCCACA